GUGGGGAAUAUUGGACAAUGGGGGGAACCCUGAUCCAGCCAUGCCGCGUGUGUGAAGAAGGCCUUUUGGUUGUAAAGCACUUUAAGCGAGGAGGAGGCUACCGAGAUUAAUACUCUUGGAUAGUGGACGUUACUCGCAGAAUAAGCACCGGCUAACUCUGUGCCAGCAGCCGCGGUAAUACAGAGGGUGCAAGCGUUAAUCGGAUUUACUGGGCGUAAAGCGCGCGUAGGUGGCCAAUUAAGUCAAAUGUGGAAUCCCCGAGCUUAACUUGGGAAUUGCAUUCGAUACUGGUUGGCUAGAGGAUGGGAGAGGAUGGUAGAAUUCCAGGUGUAGCGGUGAAAUGCGUAGAGAUCUGGAGGAAUACCGAUGGCGAAGGCAGCCAUCUGGCCUAAUACUGACACUGAGGUGCGAAAGCAUGGGGAGCAAACAGGAUUAGAUACCCGAGUAGUCC
rnacentral:rRNA from 1 species